GCCUGGCUGGCUCAAUAAAGCAUGUGACUCUUGAUCUCAGGGUUGUGAGCUCAAGCCCCACGUUGGGCA
rnacentral:tRNA from 1 species